rnacentral:tRNA from 1 species
GGAGUUGUGGCUCAAUGGUAGAGCAUUUGCCUAGCAUAUAUGAGGCUCUGGGUUCAAUUCUCAGCACCA